rnacentral:tRNA from 1 species
GUGGGCACAGCUCAGUGGUAGAGCACAUACUUGACUUGCAUGAGGUCCUGGGUUCAAUCCCAAGUUCCUCCA